CCUGUCUGGAUGUUGUCAGAUCUGUCUUUAGUGAUGUCUUCUCCCAAACCUCUUCCAGACUCACCAAGGAUUCUUCCUCAGCCAAACUUUUGUUUGCCAAUGAUGUUCCAAAGUUCCAGGAGAAGAUGAGAAAGUUUUAUGAGAAACUAAGUGUGAGUUGUGAACCUGUGACAAAACAACAGUUUGAUUCUCUGAUGCAGUCCAUAUCUCAGGAACAGACUCAGGGAAUCAGAGUGAAGAAACUGCCUGCAUUGAAGAAGCUUUUUUCCAUGGUUAAGAAAUAUUCU